rnacentral:rRNA from 1 species
UCCUUUAUAAGUAAAAUCUGCUCCAUGUUUUAUAAAUAGCCGCAGAAUUUUAACUGUGCUAAGGUAGCAUAAUCAUUUACCUUUUAAUUAAAGGUCUGUAUAAACGAUUUUACAUUUAAAUUUCUUUUUUAUUAAUUUUUAUAAAAUUUAAAUUAAACAUAAAAAUGUUUUUAUUAAAAAAAAAGACGAUAAGACCCUAUUGAACUUAACUUUAGUUUAGCUGGGGAAGCUAAUUAAAUAUAAUUUUAAUCCUAAUUUUUUUAUAAGUUCCUAAUAUAAUUAUCUGUAACAAGUUACCAUAGGGAUAACAGCGUAAUAAAAUUUUAAAGCUCUUAUUAAAAAUUAAGUUUACGACCUCGAUGUUGAAUUAGAAUUUCUUAUAGACGCAAUAGUUUAUAAAGAGGGUCUGU